rnacentral:ncRNA from 1 species
UGUCAUCCCAGCGCCCCUAUGAUGUCAUCCCAGUGCUUGACACUGGGAUCCAGAAAAGUUUGCUUGUGAACAAGCAAACUAGCAUGGAAAGUAGCUGAUCUUACACUAAAUGAAUGUUUUUGAUGAGGUUGCAUAGAAGCUGGAUUCCAGCGUCACGCGCUGGAAUGACAAUUGCGUUUUUU